rnacentral:misc_RNA from 1 species
UUUCCGUAGGUGAACUUGCGGAAGGAUCAUUAAUGAGUUGUCAUGGGGUUCGAUGCUGGCAGCCAAUUUUUGGAUGCAUGUGCUUGCCCUAACAAUCAUCUUCCAAACACCUGUGCACAUUUUUGAGGUAGUCUUGAGUUGGUUGCCGCUCUUGGGUGAUUUUCUCACAUUCCCUUAAAUCAUUAUACGCUAUUAACAAUGUUGAACGUGCUCUGUGCCGCAAGGCUAUUAAUAUAAUACAACUUUUAACAACGGAUCUCUUGGCUCUC